ACUGGUGGAGCUUAGUCAGUAGAGAUUGAGACUCUUAAUCCCAGGGUUGUGGGUUCAAGCCCCACACUAAGCA